rnacentral:rRNA from 1 species
GUGGGGAAUAUUGGACAAUGGGCGAAAGCCUGAUCCAGCCAUGCCGCGUGUGUGAAGAAGGUCUUCGGAUUGUAAAGCACUUUAAGUUGGGAGGAAGGGCAGUAAGUUAAUACCUUGCUGUUUUGACGUUACCGACAGAAUAAGCACCGGCUAACUUCGUGCCAGCAGCCGCGGUAAUACGAAGGGUGCAAGCGUUAAUCGGAAUUACUGGGCGUAAAGCGCGCGUAGGUGGUUUUGUAAGUUGGAGGUGAAAUCCCCGGGCUCAACCUGGGAACUGCCUCCAAAACUGCAGGACUAGAGUACGGUAGAGGGUAGUGGAAUUGCCUGUGUAGCGGUGAAAUGCGUAGAUAUAGGAAGGAACACCAGUGGCGAAGGCGACUACCUGGACUGAUACUGACACUGAGGUGCGAAAGCGUGGGGAGCAAACAGGAUUAGAAACCCCGGUAGUCC